GAUGAACGCUGGCGGCGUGCCUAAUACAUGCAAGUCGAGCGAACGGACGAGAAGCUUGCUUCUCUGAUGUUAGCGGCGGACGGGUGAGUAACACGUGGAUAACCUACCUAUAAGACUGGGAUAACUUCGGGAAACCGGAGCUAAUACCGGAUGAUAUUUUGAACCGCAUGGUUCAAAAGUGAAAGACGGUCUUGCUGUCACUUAUAGAUGGAUCCGCGCUGCAUUAGCUAGUUGGUAAGGUAACGGCUUACCAAGGCAACGAUGCAUAGCCGACCUGAGAGGAUGAUCGGCCACACUGGAACUGAGACACGGUCCAGACUCCUACGGGAGGCAGCAGUAGGGAAUCUUCCGCAAUGGGCGAAAGCCUGACGGAGCAACGCCGCGUGAGGGAUGAAGGUCUUCGGAUCGUAAAACUCUGUUAUUAGGGAAGAAAAUAUGUGUAAGUAACUGUGCACAUCUUGACGGUACCUAAUCAGAAAGCCACGGCUAACUACGUG
rnacentral:rRNA from 1 species